rnacentral:rRNA from 1 species
GCUCUCGGGUGACGAGUGGCGGACGGGUGAGUAAUGUCUGGGAAACUGCCCGAUGGAGGGGGAUAACUACUGGAAACGGUAGCUAAUACCGCAUAACGUCGCAAGACCAAAGUGGGGGACCUUCGGGCCUCACACCAUCGGAUGUGCCCAGAUGGGAUUAGCUUGUAGGUGGGGUAAUGGCUCACCUAGGCGACGAUCCCUAGCUGGUCUGAGAGGAUGACCAGCCACACUGGAACUGAGACACGGUCCAGACUCCUACGGGAGGCAGCAGUGGGGAAUAUUGCACAAUGGGCGCAAGCCUGAUGCAGCCAUGCCGCGUGUAUGAAGAAGGCCUUCGGGUUGUAAAGUACUUUCAGCGGGGAGGAAGGCGAUGCGGUUAAUAACCGUGUCGAUUGACGUUACCCGCAGAAGAAGCACCGGCUAACUCCGUGCCAGCAGCCGCGGUAAUACGGAGGGUGCAAGCGUUAAUCGGAAUUACUGGGCGUAAAGCGCACGCAGGCGGUCUGUCAAGUCAGAUGUGAAAUCCCCGGGCUUAACCUGGGAACUGCAUUUGAAACUGGCAGGCUUGAGUCUCGUAGAGGGGGGUAGAAUUCCAGGUGUAGCGGUGAAAUGCGUAGAGAUCUGGAGGAAUACCGGUGGCGAAGGCGGCCCCCUGGACGAAAACUGACGCUCAGGUGCG